rnacentral:lncRNA from 1 species
GCGGAGACGGGAGGCCUGGGCUUGGGCAGCGGUGGCGGUGUCCUGGCCCCGCCGGUGACGGAGGGCUUUGAUGAGGCCCGGCGGCCGCGUGCUUGCCAGGAAGGCCCGGGGCUUGAGGCCCUGGAAGGCCUGGCCCGUUCAGGAGUCCCGGCUGUUUGGGGGAAUGUCCCACGCCCUGUGGGGAUUUGAGCCGUGUCUCCCGGCCGACUUGGGUGUCCCGGUUGGUGUGUGGUCGGGACUGGGAGGGGCUUGGUGCGGGCGGGAACCGCCGGGUAGCGACCACGUCUCGUCAGGGGGUUCGUGCCUGCUGCUGGGCACGGGAACGGCUCCGGGGGGGUCUUACGGGCGCUGAGGGGAUUCCGCAUCAUGGAGAGGUCAAGGGGAGUUGGUGGCCGUCACCCUUCGUCAGGGCAGGGUAGCAUCAGUGCUCCCGUGCUGGGGUUCCUGGAGAGCCGGCUGGCACGGACAGACUCUUGUGAGGGCAAGUGGCUGAUCGUGCGUCGGAUGGGUCCAGCAAAGGAGAGAAAGCUUCGGUGCGCGCGCGCUCGCCAGGGAAAGGGUGACAGCGGGUGGGACCGAGAGGGAGAGAGAGAGAGGGAGAGAACAAAGGAAGAGAGAGGGUUUCCGCAGGGGCGGUGAGUCCUGGCGGAAGUCCUGAGGCAGAGGAGGUGCCAGGGGUUUGGGUUUCCCGGUCGUGUCGGGGGUGUGGCGCAGGUUGCCCCAGUGGGCCUGAAUGUGCCUCCGUGGGGCACCUUGUUGCCGUGUUGGGGGGCGGGGAGCCGGCCUUGGGGAUCCAUCUUUCGGGCCCUGGGACGUGGGAGAAGAAUGCCGGGGCCUCUCUCUGUGCCCCUGGCACGCCUCUGUGCAGGCCGGGCCUGCACCCCCCGCCCGUCCCCCAGGCAGGGUCCGUGUGGCUGCAGACACCCAGAGAGAGGGGAGGCUGGGGAGGCUGGGGAGCCGUGGCAGCCCGAUGCAGUGCGGGUCUCCAGGUGGAGGGGCCCUGGUCCCCUGGCGCCAGCGUGGCCCUUCCUCCUUGUGGAAACCCUUGUGGUGUGUGUGCUCUCUCGCCCUGACCCAGGAGAGCAGCAUGGCGGACCCCUGAUCUUGUGGCGUGCCACCGCGCGAGGCCGAGGAGCUCCCGCAGCCCAGUGGGCGUGGCGUCCUUGUCGCGGCUCUGUGGAGACCUGGCGAUGGAGAGCAGCAUGGCGGACCCCUGAUCUUGUGGCGUGCCACCGCGCGAGGCCGAGGAGCUCCCGCAGACCAGUGGGCGUGGCGUCCUUGUCGCGGCUCUGUGGAGACCUGGCGAUGGUGAGCGGCCCCUGUCCUCAGUGGUGGAGAACUCGCCCUUGGGGCGCUCGUCUGUCCGGAGCCCCGGGCCAGCCCCGCUUCUCGCGGGCUUUGGCCCCGGCAGGCCAGCUCCGGGGGCGUGAGGGGGAGCGUCCCGUCCUGCCCAGUGGCUCGUCUGUCUGGGCACGCCCCCAAACGCUGCCGUGAUGGAGCGGGUGGGAUGUCCAGGUGCGGAGGCCGUGAAUUUGCCUUGCGGCGGCGGAGCCCGUGCUCGGAUCGAUGAUGACUCCCUCUAAAGCAUUCCUUGGAAAUCUGAACAAAAUGAGUGAGAACUCACUACCGUCUCCUCAUCGAAACUGAGGUCCGGCACGUGGCGGCCACCGGGGGCUCGGGGGUAGAUGGGCCCUUGGCCUUGGGGCCUCUGGUGUCAGCAGCCACUCGGGUGAGGGCUGGGGAAGGCGGCCG